CUCAACCGGGAGAGGUCGGGGGAAACUACGGGGCUUGAGCCUCGGAGGGGAGAGUGGAACUUCCGGAGUAGCGGUGAAAUGCGCAGAUACCGGAAGGUACCUCGAUAGCGAAGGCAGCUCUCUGGCCGAGUGCUGACGCUGAAGCGCGAAAGCGUGGGGAGCGAACCGGAUUAGAUACCCGGGUAGUCCACGCCCCAAACGAUGCCGACUAGGUGUUGGCUCCUUUAACCGCGGGCCAGUGCCGCAGCUAACGCGAUAAGUCGGCCGCCUGGGGACUACGGCCGCAAGGCUAAAACUCAAGGGAAUUGACGGGGCCCCGCACAAGCGGUGGAGCACGUGGUUCAAUUCGAUGAUAAGCGAAGAACCUCACCCGGGCUUGACAUGUACGUGGUACCGAUCCGAAAGGGGAGGGACCGUUCUCUUCGGAGAGCGGAGCG
rnacentral:rRNA from 1 species